rnacentral:lncRNA from 1 species
CGGCGGAUUUGUCGGCGUGCCCGGGGAACGAGACAUCCGGGGCAUGACAAUGUGGCUUCUAAAUUGACGAUCGAUUCCGUUAGACUUGAUCUACACUAUUGAAAGUAUUUGGAAACUAAAUAAAUUUUAUAAUUUUUCGAUAUCAUAUACCUAUCAAACGAGUAGUCUAAAAAUAAACGGCUGAAAAUAAAAAUCUCAUAAAAAAUGAUGAUAAAAUACUUGAAUUUAAGAUCAGAGGUACUAAUUUUACUAUAAAUAGUGAAAAAAAUUUUAUAAAAAUUCCAUCAGAUUUGGAUUGUUUUGCACCGUUAAAUUCAAAAACGUAUCACAUCUACCAUUAAAAUUGUCAAUUUUGAGACUUUUGAUCACUAGCCAAAUGAUGCCGAAAAAUUAUGAAAUUUAGUUUCCAAAUACUUUUAAUAGGGUAGAACAAGUCUAACGGAGCCGAUUGUCGAUUUGGAAGCCGCAAUAUUGAAAACAACUUGGUAGCACGAAGGCCUCCGUGCUACCGAUAGUAUACCAGCCUAGCUCUCUCUCUCUCUCUCUAUAUAUAUAUAUAUGUGUGUGUGUCUGUGUGUGUGUGUGUGUGUGU